rnacentral:rRNA from 1 species
ACUGACGGUACCCGAGGAAAAAGCCUCGGCUAACUCCGUGCCAGCAGCCGCGGUAAGACGGAGGAGGCAAGCGUUAUCCGGAAUUAUUGGGCGUAAAGGGUCCGCAGGUGGCCAUUCAAGUCUGCAGUCAAAGGUCGGGGCUCAACCCCGAAAAGGCUGUGGAAACUGAAAGGCUAGAGUACGGUAGGGGCAGAGGGAAUUCCCAGUGUAGCGGUGAAAUGCGUAGAGAUUGGGAAGAACACCGGUGGCGAAAGCGCUCUGCUAGGCCGAAACUGACACUGAGGGACGAAAGCUAGGGGAGCGAAAGGGAUUAGAUACCCCUGUAGUC